rnacentral:sRNA from 1 species
AGUAGCAGUCUGUUUGUGCACACACCCCAUUGACAGAUAGGGUUGAGUAGCCCCAUCUGGCUGGCUGGAUCCCCAUAUAGUGUACUGUGUUCUCCAAAGCUGCUCCAUUGGCAGUAAGGAUGCCUUUCUUCUUACAUAAAGGAGGGUGAUACCAAGGUCAAGGACAUAUAAGUACCUGUGUUCAACAACUAGACUCUCUACCCAAGUCAACACCUCGGAAACUGAACACCUGCCAUGUACUAGGCUGCGUGCAGUUAGUCGCUUUUGGGUAAAUACAUAUCAACAAGUACUGUGUACAUGUUAAUUAU